UUGAGGAGAAAAAAACAGACAAGAACGCAUAUUGUGUUGCGCCUGCGCUGUGACGUUCUUUUUUCAACCGCAUUUCCAGUCAAGAGGUCAAGAAUGUUCCUGUCUGCAUCAGGUAAGAAAUUAAAUAAAAAAUUACCGUUAUAAUAUGAUAUCUAUUUUUCAUAUAGUGUAAGAAACUUUAGCAUUAAUUGUGCAGGAGACUGUUCAUUUAAACUUUAUUGUGGUAACGUUAAAUGCUCGCUCGUUUUGCAAAGUUACGUUUGGAGAUUCAUGAUAGCAGUCAUUGUUUAAUGAAAGGCACAUUGGACUACGGGUUAGUAAGUAUGUGUGACACAGCACUUUAACGUACAUCUUUAACACAGUGUCCUAAAUAGAUGUGACACGCGGUAACGGGUUUCUUUUCAGUUUAUGUCCUGACGUUAAUAGGACGGGAUAUUAUAAAUUAUGCCUUUCUAUUAUCGCGACGCCUCGUCGCGUUUGGUUAAGCACAUGGUGGAACCGUAUGCACGUCACUGUACCUAACGUACUGUACACCUGUGAGCGGCAUGACGAGACAAAAGACGCUAGCUAUCCAUCUGAAAAAGAAAAGCUGGAACUCGCAAAGGAGAUUGUGUUGUUGGAUUAUGGUCUCAUUUGGUCAAAAUGAGGGACAUGUACUGAGCAUUUUUCUUUAUUUUUUCUUUUUUUUGAUGGGCCAUCACACAGUGGAUUUAUAAAAAUGAGACUACAGAACAUCAGACGGAAGCUUCAAUGGAGUUGAUGUGAGAGGAACUCACCAAUAAAGAAUGCCAUUGACCAAACCUUCAGUCAUCAAAGAAGAUGGAUACAGGUGGACAUCGAGUUUUCCAGACUUACCGAUAGGAAAGAAGAAAUGUUUAUCAGGAAAUGGGAGGUGACAAUUAUUGAGAAACUCAGGGAAAUAGCAUCUUUAGAGAAGAAAUGUAAUGUAAGAUAUUUAAUGUAAGAUAUAAAAGUAAUCCUUUUUAAAUAAUUUUUUCUCAUAAUUUAUAUUUUGCAUGUGACCUGCAUGUUUACCACACCCAGAUCUAUUGCUGUGUGAAUUCUGCUGUCUCAGACUGGGACUUGGUGGCGGCUGGUACCAGCAUGACCUCUUUGCUUACUAAAUGAUGAAAAGGUGUCUAAAAUCAGCUCAGCCACAGUUGGUUUCCAGCGGUUCUUCAGGACAUGAAUUCGCAAUGAAUGAUUCUCUUGCCUUUCUACUUGAUGUUUACAAUCGGACCUGUGCGGUAGACAGACUUUUCAAAUUUACUAGCUAAGUAACCUUAUGUAUCCCUGCCAACUGUCUUCAGUUUUUUUUUUGGUAUGAAUAUGAUCUACCCUUGUCCCAGUCCUCUUGCAAACAAUCCAAGGCAAUGGAGUUUCAAAAUGGAUCGCAAAAUUGCAGUCUGUUUUAACCAAUGCAUGCACUGUGUGGCGGUUUCCCGGACAGGGAUUAGACUAGUCCUAGACUAAAACAUUUUUAAGAGCUGUCCAAACUGAAAACAACUUGCACUGACAUAUCUUAAAAUACACCAGUGCCCUUUGUUUUGCCUCAAAAUGCACACAGGUAAUGUUUUUAGUAAGGCAUGUUUGUUAAAACCAGAUAUAUUUCCUAAUUAAUCUAAGGCCUAGUCCUGGAUUAAGAUAAUCCCUGUCCGGGAAACCACCCCUAAAUAUUUUGUGAUGGAAAUUUCUUUGAAUACACUUGUCAAGUUCAUUUGAAGUAUUUUUCUUAAUGUAAAAUAACGUGUUAAUGUUUCAGGACAAGGUAAGAAUUUUUGAUAACUUGCAUGUUGAAAACGAUUUCAGACAUUGUUUCAACAUGUUUAACACAGUUGCUUUUAAAUUCAAUGAAUUAUUUUAUAAAUGGUGUUUUUUAUGUAUAAAUGUAAUGUAUGUUUGAAGUGAUUAUACUUGCACUUAAAUUUAUUUAAAUUAGCAUACAUCUUGCAACAUACAGUACUAGCAUAUUUUCAUGCUAGCAUUAAUUGUCAAAUAUUUAUUAUUUUACAAAUAAAUCGUUUGUGAACAAUAUUUAAUAGUUGUCUGCUUGAUUUCAUUAUUUAAAGUUUACAAAUCGUAUGUUUUUUUUUCUCUUUUAUAUUAAAACUAAACAAUUACUGGGUAACACACAGUUGUGUUAAAUUAAUAGAAAGUUACACAUUAAUGUGUUUACUGAAGCAACACAUUUUUUGUGUUGCAUUUUAUAACACAUAUUCUGUGUUAAAUUUAACUCAACAUGUGUUGUCCCUGCGCACACUCAGAACAUGUGUAAAAAAUAACACAUGUUGUGUUGUUUUUAACACAUUUGUUUUAAGAG